rnacentral:rRNA from 1 species
UAGUGGCGAACGGGUGAGUAACACGUGGGCAAUCUGCCCUGCACUCUGGGACAAGCCCUGGAAACGGGGUCUAAUACCGGAUAAUACUGUGCCCCUCAUGGGGGACGGUUNAAAGCUCCGGCGGUGCAGGAUGAGCCCGCGGCCUAUCAGCUUGUUGGUGGGGUAAUGGCCUACCAAGGCGACGACGGGUAGCCGGCCUGAGAGGGCGACCGGCCACACUGGGACUGAGACACGGCCCAGACUCCUACGGGAGGCAGCAGUGGGGAAUAUUGCACAAUGGGCGAAAGCCUGAUGCAGCGACGCCGCGUGAGGGAUGACGGCCUUCGGGUUGUAAACCUCUUUCAGCAGGGAAGAAGCGAAAGUGACGGUACCUGCAGAAGAAGCGCCGGCUAACUACGUGCCAGCAGCCGCGGUAAUACGUAGGGCGCAAGCGUUGUCCGGAAUUAUUGGGCGUAAAGAGCUCGUAGGCGGUUUGUCACGUCGGGUGUGA